UACGUAGGGUGCGAGCGUUGUCCGGAAUUAUUGGGCGUAAAGAGCUCGUAGGCGGUCUGUCGCGUCGAUCGUGAAAACUUGGGGCUUAACCCUGAGCCUGCUUCCGAUACGGGCAGACUAGAGGUAUGCAGGGGAGAACGGAAUUCCUGGUGUAGCGGUGAAAUGCGCAGAUAUCUGCAGGAACACCCGUGGCGAAAGCGGCGCGCUGGACCACUACUGACGCUGAGGAACGAAAGCUAGGGGAGCAAACAGG
rnacentral:rRNA from 1 species